AGCCAUGUGGCAUAGUGGUUAAAUACAUGGAAAGCUUUAGUCUUUGCACGCUAAAGUACGUGGGUUCGAAUCUCACCGUCGUUA